GAUGAACGCUGGCGGCGUGCCUAACACAUGCAAGUCGAACGGAAAGACGAAGAGGUUUGCUUCUUGACGUUAGCGGGGCGGGCGGGUGUAACAUGUGUAUGACACACCUAUAUGGCGGGGAAAACUUAGUGAAACCGGUGCCUAUACCCGAUUAUCUUUGCAAGAGCAUGGUUGAGGAGUGUAAGACGGUUUUGCUUUCACUUAUAGCUGAUUCCGCGCGGCAUUAGCUAGUUGGUAGGGUAACGGCUUACCUAGGCCACGAUUCGUAGCUGAGCUGAGAGGGUGAUCGGCCACACUGGAACUGAGACACGGUCCAGACUCCUACGGGAGGCAGCAGUGGGGAAUCUUGCGCAAUGGGCGAAAGCCUGACGCAGCAACGCCGCGUGUGUGAAGAAGGUCUUCGGAUCGUAAAGUUCUGUUAGUGGGGAGGAACGAAUUAAAGUGUAUACAUGUGCGUAUUGACGGUACCUGAAGAAGAAGCACCGGCUAACUCCGUG
rnacentral:rRNA from 1 species